AAAAGAUGCUCUCUCUGAAGCAGUAUUGCAAAAGGAAAUAUUACAAUUCAAAUCUCUUGUCUUUCAGCUAAAAGGAAUAGAUGUGAGAACUGUCUAUAUUUUUAACUUUUUCAUACAUGAACCCAAGUGGAACUCUGUAUGACACAAGAGAGAGGAAUGGAACUUAUCCUGCUCAUUGCUGCCGCAUGAGGGUAGCAUUAAAGAAAGAGACAAAAGAAGAAAUGGAAUAGAGUUUCAAGUGAGGUAGAGGCUUGCCAGGGGAAUCAGUCAGAGGGAGGAAGCAAUACAUUCCUCUAGUGUCUGAAAAAGCAAAUAAAAAAUGAAGGCACACGUGGAAGCCUCCUAGCAUCUUGGUGUCUGGGAAGAUGAGAAAAAAAGACCUUCAGUACCAACUGUAUCAUCAUGAAUAUAUAGUCAAGAAUGAAGAGGAAAGAAAAUAAAAGAAAAAGUGAAGUAUCUUGUGGUACAUUUUAAGAGACAGGCUUGGAUAUUACUCCUGCUCAAGUCCCACUGGCCAGAGCCAAGUCACUUCACUCCAAAAUAAAACUGCAAAGAGGACUAGGAAAUAUCAUAUGUCAAGGAAGAG
rnacentral:lncRNA from 1 species